rnacentral:lncRNA from 1 species
GGAUAAUGCAAGUGUUUAACAGAUGCUUCACUAUUAAAAUAUUUUCCCCCCAAGUCUCAAAUAUUGAAGAAUCUCUAACCAGAAGGCACAGAUCAUUCAUGGGGAUGUAUAACCGAAACCAGUCCUCUCCACCGCCUGGGGAUCUUCACUUUCGCAGUCUACGACUGCCUGUGACUCCAGAAAGACAAACUGCAGAUUGGCCAAGAUGGAUUAAGCUGGAAUAAUAAAGUAUAUCUAUGAGAUGAUUUCUGUAAACUCUGACUUGCUGAGAAAAAAGUGAAAAAGCUUUUUCUGGAAGAAACAUGGCAACUUAACCGUUAUUAAUCUGGACUAAAUAAAACAGGAAACUGCUUCUUUACAUUUCUAGUAAUUUUUUCUGCUUUUCCAAACAUUGUUAAGUUCUAUGCAACUUGUGCUAUUCAAGUAAAGAUGAUGUCAGUAAUAAAAUUACAGAAUCUAA